rnacentral:rRNA from 1 species
AACGAACGCUGGCGGCAGGCCUAACACAUGCAAGUCGAACGAUAUAGUGGCAGACGGGUGAGUAACGCGUGGGAACGUACCUUUCACUACGGAAUAGCUCCGAGAAAUUGGUGGUAAUACCGUAUACGCCCUCAGGGGGAAAGAUUUAUCGGUGAAAGAUCGGCCCGCGUUGGAUUAGCUAGUUGGUGAGGUAAUGGCUCACAAAGGCGACGAUCCAUAGCUGGUCUGAGAGGAUGAUCAGCCACACUGGGACUGAGACACGGCCCAGACUCCUACGGGAGGCAGCAGUGGGGAAUCUUGCACAAUGGGCGAAAGCCUGAUGCAGCCAUGCCGCGUGAAUGAUGAAGGCCUUAGGGUUGUAAAAUUCUUUCGUCAGGGAUGAUAAUGACCGUACCUGAAGAAGAAGCCCCGGCUAACUUCGUGCCAGCAGCCGCCGCGGUAA